UACGUAGGUGACAAGCGUUGUCCGGAUUUACUGGGCGUAAAGAGCGCGCAGGCGGUCGAUCAAGUCGAGUGUGAAAGCCCCCGGCUCAACUGGGGAGGGUCAUUCGAUACUGAUCGACUCGAAGGCAGGAGAGGGUAGUGGAAUUCCCGGUGUAGUGGUGAAAUGCGUAGAUAUUCGGAAGAACACCAGUGGCGAAGGCGACUUACUGGACGAUUGUUGACGCUGAGGUGCGAAAGCGUGGGGAGCAAACAGG
rnacentral:rRNA from 1 species